rnacentral:tRNA from 1 species
GGAAUUGUAGCUCAGUGGUAGAGAACUUGCCUCAUGGGCAUGAGGCACUGGGUUCAAUCCUCAGCACCA